rnacentral:rRNA from 3 species
GGUUAAGCGACUAAGCGUACACGGUGGAUGCCCUGGCAGUCAGAGGCGAUGAAGGACGUGCUAAUCUGCGAAAAGCGUCGGUAAGGUGAUAUGAACCGUUACAGCCGGCGAUGUCCGAAUGGGGAAACCCAGUGCAAUUCGUUGCACUAUCGUUAACUGAAUACAUAGGUUAACGAGGCGAACCGGGGGAACUGAAACAUCUAAGUACCCCGAGGAAAAGAAAUCAACCGAGAUUCCCCCAGUAGCGGCGAGCGAACGGGGAGCAGCCCAGAGUCUGAAUCAGCUUGUGUGUUAGUGGAACGGUCUGGAAAGUCCGACGGUACAGGGUGAUAGUCCCGUACACCAAAAUGCACAGGUUGUGAACUCGAAGAGUAGGGCGGGACACGUGGUAUCCUGUCUGAAUAUGGGGGGACCAUCCUCCAAGGCUAAAUACUCCUGACUGACCGAUAGUGAACCAGUACCGUGAGGGAAAGGCGAAAAGAAC